CCGGCUGUCACAUUCGCGGCGUGCCCGAAUGCUCGUCUCUCUCUCGUGGCGGCGGCAGCGGCGGCGUAACGCGUUAAUGAAAAUGGCAACGCGCCGCGACGCCAUGCGGCAGCCUCGACGGAGUACGUGCGGCGGCAAAUUGCGUCGCUUUAUCAAUCUGAAAUAACACCGGCGCGGGAUACACAAUGAGCGGCAAUGCGAGGGACUUACGAGCGCCUCGCCGGCCAGCGAAAGGACCACCACGUUGCGAUAGACAGAGCGGUCCAUGUGACGGAUGACGCUGCAGUGAAAAAAAAACUUUGCAGAGUAUCUUGAUGUGGAAUGUUUUCAAUUUGCAAGCAGAGGAUAGCGAGAGCUUUAAUAGUCAAAGCAAACAAUUUAGCACAUACAGCGACUUAAAAUAGUGCAAGAAAGUAUAUUUUCAAGACUAUAAUGGUCGCUGGUGAUCAACCUAAUACUUAUUACUGAGAGGAUAAUAAUCUUCAGCAUUGGCAAACAGAUACAAGAAAUAACACAGAGAACCUUGAAGAUAGUCCAAGAAGCGAGAUACUUUUGGAAGAAACUUUUGAUGCAUUUACUGCCUUAAAGUUGCUGCAAAACAUCAAUAAAAGAAUAUUGUGAUAAAAAGAAGUGAUAUAUAUUCAGCUGACAUUAAUGUCUUGUUUCUGCUGAUACAUCAAUUCUAUUUAUUUGAGUAUUAUAUAUAUAUAUAUAUAUAUAUAUAUAUAUGUAUGUAUAUAUAUAUGUAUAUAUAUAUAUAUGUAUGUAUGUAUACAUGCACCUUUUCUAUAUGGCUACAUGGCUAAGAUAAAUAAUUUAAUAUAUAUAUAUAUAAUGUUUUUAGUAGUUUUUUUAUAAUUCUUCUGAAUUAAAAUUUCUUUUAUAUGUACCUGAAUGUGACUCGAAAUAGAAACAAAAGAAAAUAUCGUUUUUCCUAACCAUUCCUCUUUUGUUCAUUAAUUACCAAUUACUGUGAAGCGAAUUUGUACGACGAUAUAUGUAGAGAAAAAAUAGAAUAGAUCUAAUGUAUGUAUUUUAUAAUUCAAUAUUUGUUUAGAUUAUUUUCCUAUAAAGCGGCGUUCGUUGGCUCGUAGUAGUAAUUACUUUUAUGAUUGCGGCGUUCUACUUUUUAAUCUAUCGCGCGCAUCACAAUAAAUAAAUAGUGACAUGCUAUAUA